GGGGGAGUAUGGUCGCAAGGCCGAACUUAAAGGAAUUGACGGAAGGGGCACCACCAGGAGUGGAAUCUGCGGCUUAAUUUGACCCAACGCGGGAAAACUCACCAGGUCAGGACACGGUAAGGAUUGACGGACUGAAGGCUCUUUCUCGAUUCCGUGGAAAGUGGUGCAUGGCCGUUUUUGGUUGGUGGAUCGAUCCGUCUGGUUAAUUCCGUUAACGAACGAGACCUCGGCACUCCGAAUAGCGCGGCGGACGUCGCGGCCUCCGGGCCGUCUUCCGCACGAGCUUCUUAGAGGGACCGUCCCCCGCCCGGGGAAGGAGGUGCGAGGCAACGACAGGUCUGUGAUGCCCUUAGAUGUUCUGGGCCGCACGCGCAUUACACUGACGCGUCCAACGGGUGACUCCCGACCCGAAGGGGCCGGGGAAUCCGCAAGGCGCGUCGUGAUGGGGAUUGAACGUUGCAAUUGUUGUUCACGAACGAGG
rnacentral:rRNA from 1 species